rnacentral:rRNA from 1 species
UCACGCAUCGCGUCUCCCCNAAAACCACCUUGUGUGGAGGGGAAGGAGGAUGGUUUCCCGCGCCUCACCGGUUGCGGCUGGCCUAAAUUCGGAGCCCUCGGCAUCGGGAUGCCGCGGCGAUAGGUGGUGAACAUGGCCUCGGCCAAGCAAGCAACCCGUCGCGCAUCACCUUGCCAAAGGGAGCUCGAAGGACCCUUUGAUGUUGCCUUGUCGCAACCAAACCUUUGCGAC